AUUGAACGCUGGCGGCAGGCCUAACACAUGCAAGUCGAACGAGUGGCGGACGGGUGAGUAAUGUCUGGGAAACUGCCUGAUGGCGGGGGAUAACUCCUGGAAACGGUAGCUAUUACCGCAUACCAUCAGAUGUGCCCAGAUUGGAUUGUCUUUUAGGUGGGGUAACGGCUCACCAAGGCCACGAUCCCUAGCUGGUCUGAGAGGAUGACCGGCCACACUGGAACGGAGACACGGUCCAGACUCCUACGGGAGGCAGCAGUGGGGAAUAUUGCACAAUGGGCGCAAGCCUGAUGGAGCAAUGCCGCGUGUAUGAAGAAGGCCUUCGGGUUGUAAAGUACUGUCAGCGGGGAGGCGGUACCCGAAGAGGAAGCACCGGCUAACUCCGUGCCAGCAGCCGCGGUAAUAC
rnacentral:rRNA from 1 species